rnacentral:lncRNA from 1 species
CAUCCUGAGCAGGAGGAUUGAGCUAGCCAUGACCUUGUCCAGGUCCUGUGAUUAGAUGCUGAUUUUGUGUGGCCGGUGAGCCUGUCACACAUCUUCUGGUUCUAACAACACCCCUCGGGAGACCUUAGGUGACUAUCUGGCCUGUCAGUCAGUGACUACAGAGUCAAUCUAUAGACAUGUUUUCUAGACUGAGGAGUCUACUUGGGAGAAAAAAAAUGGGAGCAUGGUGAGACCAGAGAAAGGCAGAAGGAAGCUGUCCUUCCAUCUGAGAGUCAUUCAGGAAGAAAGAAACGGUCCUGAAGACAUAGUCCUGGGAAGGGGGUGCCAAGCUUCCUGGAGGAGGUGACUUGAAGUGGGUUCAAAUAAUGUCACACUGGAACUGGAGCCUCUGGGUUGCAAAUGGACAUUGGGACUUGGGUACAUCAUGGGAAAAAGGAGUCCAUGGGCUGGUGAGAUGGCUCAGUGGUUAAGAGUGCCGAACAUGGAAAGAAUGGAGGAAAUGUUGCAGUAUGUGGUGAAACUGAAGAUGUUUGAUAAGUAGCAGCAGGAGAUGGAACUGGCCACAGCCCAGGAAGAGAGAGUCCUGCAGAAAGACCUGCU